CAUAUGUCGCUUUAUCUGAGGGGGGAGCAGAUUCACAAACAGGAAGCGUUGAAUUAACAUCAAGAAAAACCCAUAUUCUUCAUUCACCGUCAUCUCUGGAGGUGGAUGAGACCCUCCAAGAUGCCUGGAUUUUGCCACUUUAUCUUUUGCCUCUGUAUUCUAGGAGGUCUCUUCCACUGCUCUCAUGCUUGGGAAGUUCAGCUACCAAACCACAUCAAUGGACUGCUGGGUUCCUGCCUUGUUAUUCCUUGCAGUUUCAACUACUACCAGUAUCCACCCGAGAGGCCAGAUCGUGUUGUUUGGUACCAGUAUGUAAACCGCGGCUAUCCGCUAGUUUAUGACAACUGGUACCCCAAUGACGUAAUAAGCGCAUUCAGAGGGAAAACAUACGUAUAUACCUCGUGGGCUGGCAAAACCUGCAAAUUGAAGAUUGAGCCAGUGACCUGGGCUCAUCACAGACAGAGAAUUUAUCCAUGGGUGGAUCCGGAGAACGUUGGGAAAAGCACCUACCGAUUCUAUGAUAAAACUGUCACAAUCAAUGUCGAAGCCACGCCAAAUACCCCAGAUAUAUCGAUCUUUGGGGAGAUGAAGGUUGGACGGUCUGUGACGGUUCAGUGCAGUGUUCAUCACACCUGUUCCACCAAACCCCCAUCUAUCAGUCUCAACAUCCCACUGAAAAACCACCGUCUGGAUCAUACCUAUGGGUCUGAUGGCCAGACGACAACAACCUUGAGGACCACCUUGUUGAUAGAGAGAGACCAUCAAACUGUGACCUGCACUGCCCAACACUAUGGUGGCAUCACUGCAACCGGAUUCUACACCUUGAGCGCAGAAUGCUCCGUGUCCCAGCUGACUAUCAGCCCUUCAUCAACUGAAUUUCUUGAGGGAUAUGAAAGCAAAGUAAGCUGCAUAGCAUCAUACACGUGCCCGAAGCAUAACCCGACUCUGAGGUGGAAUUACAACAUGCCAAGCUCCACUGACACUACCAGGGUGUCACAGGAAGCCGGGUGGAGGACGGUCUCCACCCUGACACUAACCCCUUCAGCUAAUGACAAUGGAAGAUAUCUGACGUGUUAUGCAAGAUUCACAGGGCUGCAGAACCAACAAACCAGCAUCACUCUGAGGGUAAAAAGAAACAUUCUGUCUCGUGGUUGGUCCUUCACCACUCCUGGAAGAUUAACAGGAAUGAAGGGAUCAUGUAUGAUCAUUCCCUGUAGAUUCAGCUACAGUCAUUCCCAACCCGCUGACCUUCCUGUUGCAUGGUACUUGUACCAGAGCAGUGGUUAUCCAGCUGUAUUUGUCCAGAGAUCAAGCAACAUUGUUGGUAGGUUUGUUGGGAAAACCAGCUUGGUCGGAUCUGUGCGGGAGAACAACUGCAGCCUGAAGAUUGAAAGACUGGAGCUGUCACACAGCCAUGACCGACUCUUCCCUUGGAUCGAUAAGAACCCCAUCACCUCCUACCACAACAUGGGUCACAGUUUUCUGGACAAAACAACUGAACUCAUUGUUUCGGAUCAAGCGGAGGAACCCCGGCUGAGCGUCAUCGGUAACCUCAGGGUGGGAGAGCAGAGCGCAGUCACCUGCAGUGUGCGCCACACAUGUUUGUCUGCUCCCCCCAGCCUGACCAUCAGCGAUAUACCCGGAACAGACAAAACCACGGACACUCUGGUGUCUGAUGGGAUUUGGGAAAGGAGAGUGGAACGAACCUGGACCGUAGAAGAGCAGAACCAGCGUGUGAAGUGUAGUGUUUCAUACCCUGGAGGUCAGAAAGCCUCAAACAGCCUCCAGCUCAACGUUGAAUGUCCAUACAAUAAAAUCACCAUGGUGGAGCGACCCGACGAGGCAACGGAGGGAGUGGCAAAGAGUGUAAUUUGCACUGUUUCCUACAAGUGUGAGAAAAACAUGCCGACCAUUGUGUGGAACUACAGAGACAUGCAAAGUGAAGAAGACACCAGAAAGAUCUCUGGCAAUUCAUACCGCAUUGUGUCAAAUCUAACUUUUAUUGGCUCUGCGCGUGAAGAUGGGAAACAGCUCACGUGCACUGCUCGGUUUCUGACAGGCCAGACCUCCGACUCUGCCACCAUCCACGUGAAAAGAAAUAUGUUCUUUCGUGGUUGGUCUGCCACCACUCCUCGAAGCAUUACAGGGAUGAAGGGAUCAUGUGUGAUUAUUCCCUGUAGAUUCAGCUACAGUCAUUCCCAACCUGCUGACCCUCCUGUUACAUGGUACUUGUACCAGAGCAGUGGCUACCCAGCUGUAUUCGAUCAGAGAUCAAGCAACAUUGACGUUAAGUUUGUUGGUAAAACCAGCUUGGUCGGAUCUGUGCGUGAAAACAACUGCAGCCUGAAGAUUGAAAGGCUGGAGCUGUCACACAGCCAAGACCGACUCUUCCCCUGGAUCGAUAAGAACCCCAUCACUUCCUAUCACACCAAGGAUCACAAUUUUCAACAUGAUACAACUCAACUUGUUGUUCUGGAUCAAGCGGAGGAACCCCGGCUGAGCGUCAUCGGUAACCUCGGGGUGGGAGAGCAGAGCGCAGUCACCUGCAGUGUGCGCCACACAUGUUUGUCUGCUCCCCCCAGCCUGACCGUCAGCGAUAUACCCGGAACGGACAAAACCACGGACACUCUGGUGUCUGAUGGGAUUUGGGAAAGGAGAGUAGAGCGAACCUGGACCGUAGAAGAGGAGAACCAGGGUGUGAAGUGUAGUGUUUCAUACCCUGGAGGUCAGAAAGCGUCAAGCAGCCUCCAGCUCAACGUUGAAUGUCCGUACGACAAAAUCACCAUGACGGAACGACCUGAUGAGGUACCAGAGGGAGUACCAAAGACUUUAAGUUGCACCGUUUCCCACAAGUGCAAGAAAAACACACCGAAGAUUACGUGGAACUACGGACACAUGCAAACCUCAGUAAACACCAAGAAGAUCUCCAGCUCUUCAUACAGCACUGUGUCAAGUCUGACUUUCACUGGCUCUGCAGAGGACGAUGGGAAAACGUUGACAUGCACUGCUCAGUUUACCACAGGAGACACCUCAGACUCUGCAACCAUCCACAUAAAAAGAAGCAUGCUGUCUCGUGGUUGGUCCUUCACCACUCCUCGAAGCAUUACAGGAAUGAGGGGAUCAUGUAUGAUCAUUCCCUGUAGAUUCAGCUACAGUCAUUCCCAACCCGCUGACCUCCCCGUUACAUGGUACUUGUACCAGAGCAGUGGUUACCCAGCUGUAUUUGACCAGAGAUCAAGCAACAUUGACAUUAAGUUUGUUGGGAAGACCAGCUUGGUCGGAUCUGUGCGGGAGAACAACUGCAGCCUGAAGAUUGAAAGGCUGGAGCUGUCACACAGCCGAGACCGACUCUUCCCCUGGAUCGAUAAGAACCCCAUCACCUCCUACCACAGCACGGGUCACAGUUUUCUGGACAAAACAACUGAACUCAUUGUUUCGGAUCAAGCGGAGGAACCCCGGCUGAGCGUCAUCGGUAACCUCAGGGUGGGAGAGCAGAGCACAGUCGCCUGCAGUGUGCGCCACACCUGUUUGUCUGCUCCCCCCAGCCUGACCAUCAGCGAUAUACCCGGAACAGACAAAACCACGGACACUCUGGUGUCUGAUGGGAUUUGGGAAAGGAGAGUAGAGCGAACCUGGACGGUAGAAGAGGAGAACCAGGGUGUGAGGUGUAGUGUUUCAUACCCUGGAGGUCAGAAAGCCUCAAACCACCUCCAGCUUAAUGUUGAAUGUCCGUACGACAAAAUCACCAUGACGGAGCAGCCGGGCGAAGUGAAGGAGGGAGCGACAAAGACUGUGACCUGUUCUGUUUCUUACAAGUGCAAGAAAAACACACCGAACAUCAAGUGGAACGACAACAAUGAGAAGAGUUCACAGUAUACCACAAAAGUCUAUGCUAGCUCAUACAGAACUGUGUCAACUGUAACUUUCACUGGCUCCGCGGGUGACGAUGGGAAAACGUUGACAUGCACUGCUCAGUUUCUAACAGGGGAGACGUCCGACUCUGCAACCAUUCGCAUAAAAUCUUUCGACGUUCUGGCUGCUGAUGUCCCGAUCAAAUUCAGUGCCCUGACUCGCUCCUGCGUGGUCAUUCCCUGCACUUUCCAAGACGAUGACCAUGUUCCCAUGACUCGAGGCAUCUGGGCCAAAAAAAACGGGGACAUCGUCUACCACAACGGCCAGAGCCAAGUUGUCGAUCACUUUAAGGGCCGAACCAGAAUUCAAGGAAACCUGCAAGAGGGACACUGCAGCUUGGAAAUCGACGACAUCAAGCCCUUCGACAACGGGCCCUUCUGUUUCCAUGCAGAGAAAAGAGACGACAAAUACAAGUUCAACAACAGCUGCGUGUUUGUUCUGAUGAGAGCCUCUCCUGAUGAACCAGCGAUGACUCCAGUCCCAGCAGAGGCGGAUGCCGGUUCGACCCUCACCGUCUCCUGUUCCGUCGCGCACACCUGUCCUUCGCACCCUCCGGUGUUCUCCUGGAGCGUCCCAAACCUCACCAGCGCCGUCUCACACACCAUGACGUCCAGAGGCGUCUGGGAGAUGACUUCCACCAUCUCUUUUGUGGCCGCCGGAGGGGAUGGAGUCCACAGCCUCAACUGCACUGCCACCUUUUGGGGGGGAAAGCAACAAACAAGCGUCGUCAACCUGAGUGUGAAGGGGUCACUAAUGUACCAGGUGAAAAGCGCGGCUCCAGUGUUCGUCCCCGUGUCGCUUCUCGUGCUCGUCAUCAUCAUCUUGUCUGCAGUCAUGGGAGUAUGCAUCUGGAGGAAGAGAAAGAACGCCGAUGGCUCGCUGAAGCCGCCGCCCCGGCCGGAGAAAAGGAGAUCGUUGUGGGAUAGACUGUCCAGACGAUACCCUGACGAGAGGGGCCGACCACCAAGGCCAGAGAAACGAAAGUCUCUGUGGAGCCGAUUUUCCAGGAGGAGUCCAGAUGAUCGUGUUGGUUGGGAGCAAGAGAAGAAGACCAGGAAGUCUUUCUGGAACAGAUUUUCAAGGCGCCAAAACAACACCUCCGAUCUCAGCGUCGCCUUCGUAAACAACACCUCCUCUGUGGUCCUUGACACUCACGGCUCCAAACCUCGCUGUCCAUCCCCAAAACGCAGGAAGUAGGUUCAACAUUAAUUCGUCCAACUUGAGGUCAUUUAUUAAUCAAGGCAGCUUUACCUUGACCACCAUGAAAAGGACUGACCGUCGUGUGGCAACAUUUGAGUUCUGGAAAGACAUCUGAAAACCGGCGCUGACCUCCGUGACUCCGCUUCAGCUUCACACUGGACUAUUUUGUGUGAAAAUUGUAUCUUCAUCUCUUCAUAAGUUUCUUUACAGUAAUCAGAUAAAAUUAGUAUGAAAAAUAUAUACAUCUAACAAUAAACAAAAGGCUUUGGCCACAAAAAAAAAAAAAAAACUUCAUUAUCAUGGCAAUAGAUCAAGCAUAAGUCGGAAUGUUAAUAUUCAUGUGAAUGUAUUCUUGACUUUACUUCUGCUGAGCUUUAUUUCAUCUUCAUUUGCUUCCCUACUUGACUGAAUUUGUGCUCCGAUUACACAUAAACACGCCCAUCGUUAUUUGUUUGCUUCAUGUGGAUGUAGUUGUUCACAAUACUGUCGCGUUGCAAGGUGUGUCAUGAAUGAAUGCAUCAAACUUCAUUAAAGUACAUAAC